GAGAAGCGAUGUGAACAACCAACCUCCCGAAAAUGUACAAAAUGUGUCUUUGGUGCAGAUAAUUUUCUUUUUUACUGGCGGGGGAGAAGUUGAUUCCGCUCAAGACGUGGGACAUAUGAAUCACGAAUGGAUCCUAAUUUAGGUCUCGCCAUAAAAAGAAAUUUGUAUUUUUUAUUAUUUUAUUUCAUCUUAAUAUAUCAAGCGCUUAUUUCCUGGAGUUUUGACAGUGUGAACUUCACUAACUGGCAUGGUCACGGGAACAAAAGCAGCAGUAUAAUGCUGCCGAAAGGGGAUACUGGUUCCCAUGCAGCGCAG